rnacentral:rRNA from 1 species
GACGAACGCUGGCGGCGUGCCUAACACAUGCAAGUCGAACGAGAUCCAUGGGAGCUUGCUCCCGGAAGAUCUAGUGGCGAACGGGUGAGUAACACGUGAGAAACCUGCCCUGGAGUGGGGAAUAACUCGGGGAAACUCGAGCUAAUACCGCAUACCCUCGGAUGGUCGCAUGGCCGACCGAGGAAAAGAUUUAUCGCUCUAGGAGGGUCUCGCGGCCUAUCAGCUAGUUGGUGGGGUAACGGCCUACCAAGGCAACGACGGGUAGCUGGUUUGAGAGAACGAUCAGCCACACUGGGACUGAGACACGGCCCAGACUCCUACGGGAGGCAGCAGUGGGGAAUCUUGCGCAAUGGGCGAAAGCCUGACGCAGCGACGCCGCGUGCGGGAUGACGGCCUUCGUGGUUGUAAACCGCUUUCAGCAGGGACGAAAUGACGGUACCUGCAGAAGAAGCCCCGGCUAACUACGUGCCAGCAGCCGCGGUAAU